rnacentral:rRNA from 1 species
UACGGAGGGAGCUAGCGUUGUUCGGAUUUACUGGGCGUAAAGCGCACGUAGGCGGGUUGUUAAGUCAGGGGUGAAAUCCUGGAGCUCAACUCCAGAACUGCCUUUGAUACUGGCAACCUAGAGGCUGGAAGAGGUUAGUGGAAUUCCCAGUGUAGAGGUGAAAUUCGUAGAUAUUGGGAAGAACACCAGUGGCGAAGGCGGCUAACUGGUCCAGAUCUGACGCUGAGGUGCGAAAGCGUGGGGAGCAAACAGG